rnacentral:rRNA from 1 species
AGAGUUUGAUCCUGGCUCAGGAUAAACGCUGGCGGCGCACAUAAGACAUGCAAGUCGAACGGAAGUCGUUGUAAUGAUAUAGACAUGGACUGAGAACUUGUUCAAAGAAAGUGAAAGUUGACUUACAACAAUGGCUUUAGUGGCGGACUGGUGAGUAACACGUAAGCAACCUGCCUAUCAGAGGGGAACAACAGUUAGAAAUGACUGCUAAUACCGCAUAUGCCUUAGCAACACAUGUUGCAAAAGGGAAAGGAGCAAUCCGCUGAUAGAUGGGCUUGCGUCUGAUUAGAUAGUUGGUGGGGUAACGGCCUACCAAGUCGACGAUCAGUAGCCGGACUGAGAGGUUGAACGGCCACAUUGGGACUGAGAUACGGCCCAGACUCCUACGGGAGGCAGCAGUCGGGAAUAUUGCGCAAUGGAGGAAACUCUGACGCAGUGACGCCGCGUGCAGGAAGAAGGUUUUCGGAUUGUAAACUGCUUUAGACAGGGAAGAACAAAGACAGUACCUGUAGAAUAAGCUCCGGCUAACUACGUGCCAGCAGCCGCGGUAAUACGUAGGGAGCAAGCGUUAUCCGGAUUUAUUGGGUGUAAAGGGUGCGUAGACGGGAAAUUAAGUUAGUUGUGAAAUCCCACGGCUCAACUGUGGAACUGCAACUAAAACUGAUUUUCUUGAGUACUGGAGAGGAAAGUGGAAUUCCUAGUGUAGCGGUGAAAUGCGUAGAUAUUAGGAGGAACACCGGUGGCGAAGGCGACUUUCUGGACAAUUACUGACGUUGAGGCACGAAAGUGUGGGGAGCAAACAGGAUUAGAUACCCUGGUAGUCCACACCGUAAACGAUGGAUACUAGGUGUAGGAUGUGAUAAACAUUCUGUGCCGUCGCAAACGCAAUAAGUAUCCCACCUGGGGAGUACGGCCGCAAGGUUGAAACUCAAAGGAAUUGACGGGGGCCCGCACAAGCAGUGGAGUAUGUGGUUUAAUUCGACGCAACGCGAAGAACCUUACCAGGGCUUGACAUAUAGAGGAAUAAGCUAGAGAUAGUUUAGCUCUUCGGAGUCUCUAUACAGGUGGUGCAUGGUUGUCGUCAGCUCGUGUCGUGAGAUGUUGGGUUAAGUCCC